rnacentral:tRNA from 3 species
GCGAAGGUGGCGGAAUUGGUAGACGCGCUAGCUUCAGGUGUUAGUGUCCCUACGGACGUGGGGGUUCAAGUCCCCCCCCUCGCACCA